AGAGUUUGAUCCUGGCUCAGGUUGAACGCUGGCGGCAGGCCUAACACAUGCAAGUCGAGCGGUAACAGGACUAGCUUGCUAGUUGCUGACGAGCGGCGGACGGGUGCGUAACACGUAGGAAUCUGCCCGGUAGUGGGGGAUAGCCCGGAGAAAUCCGGAUUAAUACCGCAUACACCCUAAGGGGGGAAGAUGGCCUCUUCUCGAAAGCUAUCACUAUCGGAUGAGCCUGCGUCGGACUAGCUAGUUGGUGAGGUAAAGGCUCACCAAGGCGACGAUCCGUAGCUGGUCCGAGAGGAUGAUCAGCCACACUGGGACUGAGACACGGCCCAGACUCCUACGGGAGGCAGCAGUGGGGAAUAUUGCACAAUGGGCGCAAGCCUGAUGCAGCCAUGCCGCGUGUGUGAAGAAGGCUCUAGGGUUGUAAAGCACUUUCAGCGAGGAGGAAAGGUUAAAGAUUAAUACUCUUUAGCUGUGACGUUACUCGCAGAAGAAGCACCGGCUAACUCCGUGCCAGCAGCCGCGGUAAU
rnacentral:rRNA from 1 species